CUCCGGUUGAUCCUGCCGGACCCGACUGCUAUCAGAGUGGGACUAAGCCAUGCGAGUCAACGUAGCAAUACGUGGCAUACGGCUCAGUAACACGUAGUCAACAUGCCCAGGGGACGAGGAUAACCUCGGGAAACUGAGGAUAAACCUCGAUAGGCCAUGAUUUCUGGAAUGAUUCUUGGCUCAAACCUAUAUGGCCCCUGGAUUGGACUGCGGCCGAUCAGGCUGUUGGUGAGGUAAUGGCCCACCAAACCUAUUACCGGUACGGGCUCUGAGAGGAGGAGCCCGGAGAUGGGCACUGAGACAAGGGCCCAGGCCCUAUGGGGCGCAGCAGGCGCGAAACCUCUGCAAUAGGCGAAAGCUUGACAGGGUUACUCUGAGUGAUUUCCGCUAAGGGAAUCUUUUGGCACCUCUAAAAAUGGUGCAGAAUAAGGGGUGGGCAAGUCUGGUGUCAGCCGCCGCGGUAAUACCAGCACCCCGAGUGGUCGGGACGAUUAUUGGGCCUAAAGCAUCCGUAGCCGGUCCUGCAAGUCUUCCGUUAAAUCCAGCUGCUCAACAGAUGGGCUGCGGGAGAUACUACAGGGCUAGGGGGCGGGAGAGGCAAGCGGUACUUUAUGGGUAGGGGUAAAAUCCGCUGAUCCAUAGAAGACCACCAGUGGCGAAGGCGGCUUGCCAGAACGCGCUCGACGGUGAGGGAUGAAAGCUGGGGGAGCAAACCGGAUUAGAUACCCGGGUAGUCCCAGCUGUAAACGAUGCAGACUCGGUGAUGGGUUGGCCUCGCGCCUGCCCAGUGCCGCAGGGAAGCCGUUAAGUUUGCCGCCUGGGGAGUACGGUCGCAAGACUGAAACUUAAAGGAAUUGGCGGGGGAGCA
rnacentral:rRNA from 1 species